rnacentral:rRNA from 1 species
GUGGGGAAUAUUGGACAAUGGGCGAAAGCCUGAUCCAGCCAUGCCGCGUGUGUGAAGAAGGUCUUCGGAUUGUAAAGCACUUUAAGUUGGGAGGAAGGGCAGUAAGUUAAUACCUUGCUGUUUUGACGUUACCGACAGAAUAAGCACCGGCUAACUUCGUGCCAGCAGCCGCGGUAAUACGAAGGGUGCAAGCGUUAAUCGGAAUUACUGGGCGUAAAGCGCGCGUAGGUGGUUUUGUAAGUUGGAGGUGAAAUCCCCGGGCUCAACCUGGGAACUGACUCCAAAACUGCAUGACUAGAGUACGGUAGAAGGUAGUGGAAUUUCCUGUGUAGCGGUGAAAUGCGUAGAUAUAGGAAGGAACACCAGUGGCGAAGGCGACUACCUGGACUGAUACUGACACUGAGGUGCGAAAGCGUGGGGAGCAAACAGGAUUAGAAACCCCUGUAGUCC